rnacentral:lncRNA from 1 species
ACUGGGGAUUGCACCCAGAGGUGCUCUCCCACUGAGCUACAUCCCCAGCCCUUCUAUUUGUUUUUAUUUGAGACAGGGUCUGAAGUUGGCCUUGAACUUGAUCCUCCUGACUCAGCCUCUGGAGUUCUGACAUUACAGGUGUGUCUCCCCAUGCUUGGCUUCUGGGUUGAUGGAUCUUUAAAAGAAGAUAUCUCAGAUGCUCAGACACUUGGAAACACCUUUGGAAUUCUUGUCUGCUCUACAGGAAUUUGAGGUGCUUAUUUGGUUCCAAGUCACCUUGAAAUCCCUGGCAAUAUUUGGAACCCAUCACACCUCCUUUCAGAUCUUCUGUUUCAGAGUCGACAACACCCCCUCACACCCAGUUAGGUUGGU